rnacentral:rRNA from 1 species
CCUGGCUCCGUUGAACGCUGGCGGCGCGCCUAACACAUGCAAGUCGAACGAGAGAGAGGAAGCUUGCUUCCUUGAUCGAGUGGCGAACGGGUGAGUAACGCGUGAGGAACCUGCCUCAAAGAGGGGGACAACAGUUGGAAACGACUGCUAAUACCGCAUAAGCCCACGACCCGGCAUCGGGAAGAGGGAAAAGGAGCAAUCCGCUUUGAGAUGGCCUCGCGUCCGAUUAGCUAGUUGGUGAGGUAACGGCCCACCAAGGCGACGAUCGGUAGCCGGACUGAGAGGUUGAACGGCCACAUUGGGACUGAGACACGGCCCAGACUCCUACGGGAGGCAGCAGUGGGGAAUAUUGCACAAUGGGGGAAACCCUGAUGCAGCGACGCCGCGUGGAGGAAGAAGGUCUUCGGAUUGUAAACUCCUGUUGUUGAGGAAGAUAAUGACGGUACUCAACAAGGAAGUGACGGCUAACUACGUGCCAGCAGCCGCGGUAAAACGUAGGUCACAAGCGUUGUCCGGAAUUACUGGGUGUAAAGGGAGCGCAGGCGGGCGAUCAAGUUGGAAGUGAAAUCCAUGGGCUCAACCCAUGAACUGCUUUCAAAACUGGUCGUCUUGAGUAGUGCAGAGGUAGGCGGAAUUCCCGGUGUAGCGGUGGAAUGCGUAGAUAUCGGGAGGAACACCAGUGGCGAAGGCGGCCUACUGGGCACCAACUGACGCUGAGGCUCGAAAGUGUGGGUAGCAAACAGGAUUAGAUACCCUGGUAGUCCACACCGUAAACGAUGAUUACUAGGUGUUGGGAGAUUGACCCUCUCAGUGCCGCAGUUACACCAUAAGUAAUCCACCUGGGGAGUACGACCGCAAGGUUGAAACUCAAAGGAAUUGACGGGGGCCCGCACAAGCAGUGGAGUAUGUGGUUUAAUUCGACGCAACGCGAAGAACCUUACCAAGUCUUGACAUCCCUUGACGAUGCUGGAAACAGUAUUUCUCUUCGGAGCAAGGAGACAGGUGGUGCAUGGUUGUCGUCAGCUCGUGUCGUGAGAUGUUGGGUUAAGUCCCGCAACGAGCGCAACCCUUAUGGUCAGUUACUACGCAAGAGGACUCUGGCCAGACUGCCGUUGACAAAACGGAGGAAGGUGGGGAUGACGUCAAAUCAUCAUGCCCUUUAUGACUUGGGCUACACACGUACUACAAUGGCGUUAAACAAAGAGAAGCAAGACCGCGAGGUGGAGCAAAACUCAGAAACAAGUCCCAGUUCGGACUGCAGGCUGCAACUCGCCUGCACGAAGUCGGAAUUGCUAGUAAUCGUGGAUCAGCAUGCCACGGUGAAUACGUUCCCGGGCCUUGUACACACCGCCCG